rnacentral:lncRNA from 10 species
GGUAGGCCAGUCCCUGGUUCCACAGUGUGCAGAAGCUCUGACAGCCAAGGAAUGAGGUAUGUUUUCUGAUGCAAGAAGUCUCAUGUUUUUAGUGUACUAAAAUAAAAUAAAAAUGUUUGGAGUAUUCUUUUUUAUUUAUCUCAUCUACUGAACUCAGGCAAGUAAGGAAAAAAAAUCUCAAAUUAAUAGCUUAAAAUGCAUUAGACAACUAGAAUUCCAGCUGCUAAUGCAUUCAAAGAGAACUUACACAACAACCAUGUAAUAGAGUAUCAAUGUACACAUAGAUAAAUAACACAAUGAAAAAAUGCUUGUUUUUUAUUGUUAUAACAAGUGGCCUCUGCCUUCAGAAAGGUAUAGUUCCUGAUGUAGUUGGGGAAAUAGGUGCAGGAAAUUAAUGCAAGGCAAUGUGUUCAAGUGAUAAUGGAUAUAGAAUACUUAUGGACACAUGGAGGAGUUGGUGCUUGGUUGGAGUUGGUGACAAGCCUGAAGAAUCACUAGUAUGCAAAACAGGAAUGCUGAGCAUUCUGGACUGAAGGACCAGUCUGAGCAGGCACAGUCGUGCAGUUGUGCCUCCACCAUGUGGGAUGCUUGCAACAAUUUGAGUGUAUGGCUAGAGGAUAGCAUAGCUUUUGGGUAGUAAUUGCAUGGAUUGUGGUGGCCACUGAGGAAGGAUGGAGAAAGGACAAAGUAAGAGGGAGGUAAGAAAGAUGAUGGGACCCCCAAUGGCAGUUUAUCUCUAUGAAUGACUGCCACAGAAGUCUGCUCUUCAGAGGCAGUAGGAGUGGGAGUGGUCGAGGAGAGGCUGGAUGACCAUUUCUUAAAGGUGGUCUAGAAGACAUUGCUGAACUCAGAGGAAUUGGCCUAGGUGAAUUCUAUGCUCCCUCUUAGCUC